UACGUAGGGCGCAAGCGUUGUCCGGAAUUAUUGGGCGUAAAGAGCUCGUAGGCGGCUUGUCACGUCGGGUGUGAAAGCCCGGGGCUUAACCCCGGGUCUGCAUUCGAUACGGGCUAGCUAGAGUGUGGUAGGGGAGAUCGGAAUUCCUGGUGUAGCGGUGAAAUGCGCAGAUAUCAGGAGGAACACCGGUGGCGAAGGCGGAUCUCUGGGCCAUUACUGACGCUCAGGCACGAAAGCGUGGGGAGCAAACAGG
rnacentral:rRNA from 1 species